GACAGAGGGUGCAAACGUUGUUCGGAAUUACUGGGCGUAAAGCGCGUGUAGGCUGCUCGGAAAGUCGGAUGUGAAAGCCCUGGGCUCAACCUAGGAAGUGCAUUCGAAACUGCCUUGCUCGAGUAUGGGAGAGGGAAGUGGAAUUUCCGGUGUAGCGGUGAAAUGCGUAGAUAUCUGGAGGAACACCGGUGGCGAAGGCGGCAUCCUGGACCAACACUGACACUGAUGAGCGAAAGCCAGGGGAGCAAACGGG
rnacentral:rRNA from 1 species